rnacentral:rRNA from 1 species
AACGAACGCUGGCGGCAGGCCUAACACAUGCAAGUCGAGCGAGGACUCCGGUCCUAGCGGCGGACGGGUGAGUAACGCGUGGGAACGUGCCCUUUGCUUCCGUAUACCCCUGGGAAACUGGGAGUCAUACCGGAUGGGCCCUUUGGGGGUAAGAUCUAUCGGCGAAGGAUCGGCCCGCGUUGGAUUCGGUAGUUGGUGGGGUAAUGGCCUACCAAGCCGACGAUCCAUAGCUGGUGUGGGAGGAGGAUCAGCCACACUGGGACUGAGACACGGCCCAGACUCCUACGGGAGGGAGCGGUGGGGAGUCUUAGGCAAUGGGGGAAAACCUGAUCUAGCCAUGCCGCGUGAGCGAUGAAGGCCUUAGGGUUGUAAAGCUCUUUCAGCUGGGAAGAUAAUGACGGUACCAGCAGAAGAAGCCCCGGCUAACUCCGUG